GCCAUAUACACAGGCCUUACCCAAAGCCAUAUACACAGGCCUUACCCAAAGCCAUAUACACAGGCCUUACCCAAAGCCAUACACAGGCCUUACCCAAAGCCAUACACAGGCCUUACCCAAAGCCAUACACAGGCCUUACCCAAAGCCAUACACAGGCCUUACCCAAAGCCAUACACAGGCCUUACCCAAAGCCAUACACAGGCCUUACCCAAAGCCAUAUACACAGGCCUUACCCAAUGCCAUACACAGGCCUUACCCAAAGCCAUAUACACAGGCCUUACCCAAAGCCAUAUACAGGCCUUAUCCAAAGCCAUAUACACAGGCCUUACCCAAAGCCAUAUACACAGGCCUUACCCAAAGCCAUAUACAGGCCUUAUCCAAAGCCAUAUACACAGGCCUUACCCAAAGCCAUAUACAGGCCUUACCCAAAGCCAUAUACACAGGCCUUACCCAAAGCCAUAUACACAGGCCUUACCCAAAGCCAUAUACACAGGCCUUAUCCAAAGCCAUAUACACAGGCCUUACCCAAAGCCAUAUACACAGGCCUUACCCAAAGCCAUAUACAGGCCUUACCCAAAGCCAUAUACAGGCCUUACCCAAAGCCAUAUACAGGCCUUACCCAAAGCCAUAUACAGGCCUUACCCAAAGCCAUAUACAGGCCUUACCCAAAGCCGUAUAUAAGACUUACUCAAAGCCAUAUACACAGGCCUUACCCAAAGCCAUAUACAGGCCUUACCCAAAGCCAUAUACACAGGCCUUACCCAAAGCCCCAUAUACAGGCCUUACCCAAAGCCAUAUACAGGCCUUACCCAAAGCCGUAUAUAAGACUUACUCAAAGCCAUAUACACAGGCCUUACCCAAAGCUGUAUAUAAGACUUACUCAAAGCCAUAUACACAGGCCUUAUCCAAAGCCAUAUACACAGGCCUUACCCAAAGCCGUAUAAAAUACUUACUCAAAGCCAUAUACACAGGCCUUAUCCAAAGCCAUAUACACAGGCCUUACCCAAAGCCGUAUAAAAUACUUACUCAAAGCCAUAUACACAGUCCUUAUCCAAAGCCAUAUACACAGGCCUUACCCAAAGCCAUAUACAGGCCUUACCCAAAGCCAUAUACAGGCCUUACCCAAAGCCAUAUACAGGCCUUACCCAAAGCCGUAUAUAAGACUUACUCAAAGCCGUAUACACAGGCCUUAUCCAAAGCCAUAUACACAGGCCUUACUCAAAGCCAUAUACACAGGCCUUACUCAAAGCCCCAUACACAGGCCUUACCCAAAGCCAUAUACACAGGCCUUACCCAAAGCCAUAUACACAGGCCUUACCCAAAGCCGUAUAUAAGACUUACUCAAAGCCAUAUACACAGGCCUUACCCAAAGCCGUAUAUAAGACUUACUCAAAGCCAUAUACACAGGCCUUACUCAAAGCCGUAUAUAAGACUUACUCAAAGCCAUAUACACAGGCCUUAUCCAAAGCCAUAUACAGGCCUUACCCAAAGCCAUAUACAGGCAUUACCCAAAGCCAUAUACAGGCCUUACCCAAAGCCAUAUACAGGCAUUACCCAAAGCCACACACAGACCUUACCCAAAGCCAUAUACACAGGCCUUACCCAAAGCCAUAUACAGGCCUUACCCAAAGCCAUAUACAGGCCUUACCCAAAGCCAUAUACAGGCCUUACCCAAAGCCAUAUACACAGGCCUUACCCAAAGCCAUAUACAGGCCUUACCCAAAGCCAUAUACAGGCCUUACCCAAAGCCAUAUACACAGGCCUUACCGAUCUUGGUUUUUAGUCGGUUUAUUUCUCUAUUUUACAAGAAAAUACAGGGAUUUACUGUACUUUUUUCUGCUACCUUUUUCUCUUCAUGGGCUCUGCUCCAUCGUCUCUAUGACGUAAUCUAACAGUGUGGAUGAGAUACUGUCUGACAGAAGUACUUUUCCUCAUACAAAGGAUGCUGCUGAAACAAGUAACUUGUCAUUUAAAAAAAGCAACGUCAGUAAAUGUCUUGAGUUCAGUACCUGUUUUAUUCAAACCGUUAUAACAUGGCCAUAGAGCUUAAUAACAUGGUCAUUAUGUACUCUUAUAACAUGGUCGUAACAUGGUCAUAAUAUGGGUUGUACAAUCCAAGCCAGCUGUAAAAACAUCAUGCAAAUGUCUACUAGUUGUUGGCUUCAUUUCUCAAAUAUGUGUGAGUAAAUGGAUUCAAGUUGUUCCUGAAUGAAUAAUUCUGACAAAUUAGUGUUGGUCGCUUAAUCUGACAUACUUGAUCCCACAUCGUUACAAGGCUGUAAUACGAACUCUAGUCACCAGAAAUGUAGAUUUUAGAUUCAAGCAAAUAUUAAUAAGCAUUUAUAAGUUACUUUGAAGCAAUUAUCUAAUGAAUGUUUCAUAAACAAUGCUAAUAAUACAACUAAAUGCACAGGAAGUAGAGUAUUUACAGAGGAAAAAGGCACAGUGAUGACCGAUUGAUCCUGGUCACAGAGAUCAGCUGGUCUGCAGCUUGGCAACAGGCAAGUGGUGUGUAUAUAUUGUCAUCCUCUCUUGCUUUCAAAUUAGGACAUUCAUGCAGAUUCUUCAUCCACAACAAUGGGAAGACCGGCUUCAUUUUCUUGACUAGGGGCUAAAAUGCAAGCGAGGAAAAUCAUAUUAGAAUGGGUGGACAUUCAAGAAAUAUGAAGCAACAAGUUCACUUUGUAUUUCAUGUAAAUAACCCUUCUCACCUCGUUGCAGUUGUAUCGGCCUCUGCUGUGACCUCAGCUGCUUUUCAGGAGCAAGAACAAACACAAAACAGUCAUCAACCUACAUUCACUAAUCGUUAUGUAUUAAGUGUUAAGAGGCCUGGAAGGGUAAUCCUGAAAUAAAUCCUGAACUACAAAAGCUGCAAUGUCCCUUUUCUGCUGUUUGAAGUCAGUGUAGGGCACCUUAUUUGUAGUGCACUACUUCUGACCAGGGCUCCCUAGGUUUGGUUUGGCACUACUUCUGACCAGGGCUCCCUAGGUUUGGUUUGGCACUACUUCUGACCAGGGCUCCCUAGGUUUGGUUUGGCACUACUUCUGACCAGGGCUCCCUAGGUUUGGUUUGGCACUACUUCUGACCAGGGCUCCCUAGGUUUGGUUUGGCAGGCCGUGAAUCAUUCUGCACCUCAGAGAGGCUGCCCUGCUUUCUGUGUCUCUGU
ensembl:lncRNA